rnacentral:rRNA from 1 species
UGGGGAAUAUUGCACAAUGGGCGCAAGCCUGAUGCAGCCAUGCCGCGUGUGUGAAGAAGGCCUUCGGGUUGUAAAGCACUUUCAGCGGGGAGGAAGGCGUUAAGGUUAAUAACCUUGGCGAUUGACGUUACCCGCAGAAGAAGCACCGGCUAACUCCGUGCCAGCAGCCGCGGUAAUACGGAGGGUGCAAGCGUUAAUCGGAAUUACUGGGCGUAAAGCGCACGCAGGCGGUCUGUCAAGUCGGAUGUGAAAUCCCCGGGCUCAACCUGGGAACUGCAUUCGAAACUGGCAGGCUAGAGUCUUGUAGAGGGGGGUAGAAUUCCAGGUGUAGCGGUGAAGUGCGUAGAGAUCUGGAGGAAUACCGGUGGCGGAGGCGGCCCCCUGGACAAAGACUGACGAUCAGGUGCGAAAGCGUGGGGAGCAAACAGG